AGUCGACUAGCAUGCGAAGUCGAUGUAGCAAUACAUGGCGUACUGCUCAGUAACACGGUGGACAACCUACCCUCCGGACGGGUAUAAACCCGGGAAACUGGGUAUAAUCCCCGAUAGAUCUCGGUCGCUGGAAUGCCCCGAGAUCGAAAGCUCCGGCGCCAGAGGAUGGGUCUGCGGUCUAUCAGGUAGUAGUGGGUGUAGCGUACCUACUAGCCUACGACGGGUACGGGUUGUGAGAGCAAGAGCCCGGAGAUGGAUUCUGAGACACGAAUCCAGGCCCUACGGGGUGCAGCAGGCGCGAAAACUUUACAAUGCCGGCAACGGCGAUAAGGGGACCUCGAGUGCCAGGUUACAAAUCUGGCUGUCGUGAUGCCUAAAAAGCAUUGCAUAGC
rnacentral:rRNA from 1 species